GACGAACGCUGGCGGCGUGCCUAACACAUGCAAGUAGAACGCACAGUUUAUACCGUAGCUUGCUACACGAUAAACGGAGGGUUGCGUACCGCGGAGGAACCCUUCCCUAACCUGCCUGGUAGCGGGGGGAAACUAGUGGUAACAAUAGCUAAUACCGCAUGCUACUUGUUGUUGCAUGGUAAUUUAUUGAAGUUUGCUAUUGCAUCACUACCAGACGGACCGGCGUUGUAUUAGCUAGUAGGCGAGGUUACGGCUCACCUAGGCGACGAUACGUAGCCGACCUGCGAUGGUGAGCGGCCACACUGGGACGGAGACCCGGCCCAGACGCCUACGGGAGGCAGCAGGAGGGAUUCUGGGGCAAUGGGUGGAAGUUUGACCGAGCAACGCCGCGGGAGUGAGGAAGGUUGUCGGAUCGGAAAGCUCGGUUGUAAGAGAAGAACGGGUGUGAGAGUGGAAAGUUCACAGUGUGACGGUAUCUGAUCAGAAAGGGACGGCUAACUACGUG
rnacentral:rRNA from 1 species